ensembl:lncRNA
GCGGGGACUGGAAGUCUUCACAGUGUAAAACACACAAACUCAUCCUCACACUCACUGCAGUGGGACUUUAACUGGACCGCUGGAUCUUACGAGUUGAGCGUUUGUUUGUUUUUUUCAUCAAAGAAACGAUGUCACAGACAUGCUGAAAAUUAUCUACAGACCGUACAUUUAACCACCUCCAGCGGUUUCUCAUCUACUUUUUGUUGCGGAAUUUGGAGAGGAAAGUAGUCCCGUCCAUCACAUACAACACUUAUCAACAUUUGAAUGCUGUUGAGUCUUUAAAACACCAAGACCAAGCUGGUGAUGACGUCAGUAAACCUGUGGCCAUGCCAUGACAGACAGAAAUGAAACUGGUUCAGGUCAACAAGACUUGUGCUGAACUUUGCAUGGGUGGUGUAUGCAACUACUCCACAUCACUACCAGAUUUCCUACAGAAGGAGGACUGUUAUUACAGCUGGAAAUCACAGGAUGGGACUGUGCUGGGCAAGGAAAGAUUUUUGACUCGUGAUGACUGUGAGAGUGGAAUUCACAAAGUUGUACGGUGUCUUAAUCCAAGUUAUGUGAGGGAAUACAUCUUUCACAUUUUCAACAGCACUACGCCAACCCCUGAAGCUGCUAAUAUGCGCGAAAGCAUGUACACCACUGUGAACCCUGACCCUCCCCAAUCUCAAAGCAACACCAUCGUCUCCAUCUCCAUCAUCGUGGUUGCCAUUCUGAUCGUAGGCCUGAUUGUAGGAAUGUGCUACAGAAAACGAAGGGUGAUAGUAGGACUCAGGGAGAAAUUGAUUUGUGGCUGCUGUCAAGGAGCAGAUGAAAAUAACAGGUCAGACAUCCCACUUGGGGACAUUGAACCAAGAAACAAUGAAGAUGAUGCUCAACUGAACACCUCAAAUACUGAAAGCGUGGACCCUGGUGAUGCGAGCGCUAACCGCUUUAUGAACGGUGAUGUUAGAACUGAAGAAGCUCGACCACUCCGACUGCAUCCUUACAGUUGAUGUGUGCAGAGUCGUCGAGAGCGAGUGAGGAUUACGGUUCGGCUUCAGAACUUCUGUCCAGUCUGCUUCUGCCUUUUCUACAGUCGCACUUUGCCGACAGUUUCGCAUCUGGGACACUUUUUAAAUCUGCAUUAAAAUUAAGUAGUUAAACUGAUACUGUGGUAUUAUAGGGCUCUAGAUAAAAGUGUCAUUUUUAAUCAUGACAAAGCAGAUCAAAUUUUAACUUUACACAUUGUUUUUAUACUUUGUAGCGGUAUUUUGGAGUAAAAAUGUAUUUUCAUAUGUAAUACUUGCUAUAUAAAUAACAUUUAUAAGAACUCAUUUUUGCCAAAGAAAGGGAAGAUCAAAGCAAAGAACCCCAAGAUAAAUUAAAAAACUUUUAGCUUCUUUUCUGCACUUUAAAACACUGCACAGCUGUCGGAAUCAAACCUGUAGCAUAGGCUCUUUAAGCUGUAGGUCACCUGACCAUGCCAACAUGACAGAUGUAGUAUGUCCAGAUUGUUUUCAUGCCUACUGCUUAUACUGAUACCUACAUACUGUAUCAGCGGCCGAGCUGUACGUACUGUCAUAUUAUGCAAUUUCAGACACUGGGUGUGUGUGUAUCUCUCAUUCCUGGCUAACUCUUAGGCCACUCAAGACUCGUUCCACUUUAGUUUACUUAUAAGCCCUUUCCUUAACUUGCACUGUAAGGCCCAAACUUUAGACUGGGUCAUCAUCAACUCUACGUUAUCGAAUCGAUGCUAUAAAGAGCACCAAUGGUGCCCAGUGCUGAUUCCUUUUUAUUUUCUCAUUGUGAUUGACCUUUGCUAUCUCCUUUAUUUUUUCUGUCUGUUCUGUAUGUAAUUUAUUUUGUGUGUAAAUUUGUUAGUAUUCUUUAAAUGCUGUCACCAGGUGUAGAGCUCGGCUGUUUGUCUGUUUUGCUUUAUUAUAUUCUUUUUUUUUUUUUUUUUUUUUUACACGGUCGGUGUGUGUGUGUGUGUGUGUGUGUGUGUGUGUGUGUGUGUGUGUGUGUGUGUCUUAGCGGUUAGGGCUCUGGGUUACUGAUUAGGUCGGGGGUUCAAGCCCCAGCACUGUCAAGCUACCACUGUCCCUUGAGCAAGCCUUAACCCUCUCUGCUCUGGGGGCUGACCUUGCACUCUGACCAUAGCUUCUUGACAGGCUGGGGUAUGUGAAGAAAAGAAUUUCACUGUGCUGUAAUGUAUAUGUGAUCAAUAAACACUCAUUAUUCUUAGCAGUGUCUUUUCCACCUUUUAUCCCAGUCAAACUUAUACCUGUUAUCAUCCUCAACCCUAGACUGGGGUGUAUCACUAUCCUCUAUUCCAGAAAAUCUGAGACAGCAAUACUAGAGACACAAUUUUUUAGAAAGUAAAAAGUCUUCUUUUUACAGAAGGAAGGGAAUUGGUGGAGCGACCAAUCAUAACCCUGUAACAUGAAGCCUUCUUUCUACCCCCAAAAUAGUCAAAUUGAACUUGGCUCA